rnacentral:lncRNA from 1 species
GCCAGGUACUAAUUUGAUUAUCUAGUUCACAAAGUACUACACAACAAUAGGAUAUACAAGUACCGAUAAGAAGCAUGAAGGAGUUUACAAUUGAUGCAUAACUUUAGCAAACUUUUAAAGUUUGAAGCUAUUUUGGUUGGUUAACCGUACCAUGCACUUGGUGAGAGCAUAGGGGUGUCCAAAGUGGUAAGAAAUCAAGACUCCGAAGUUCUUAGUGGUGUAUUCGAUUGUUGAUAGCUCCUAUCUGCAUCCUUGACAGAUCCAAUCCAAUUUUUUUGCAAACCCAUAAAUCGUAUAAGCAACAAUGAGUUAGUUUUCCAAUUCAAAGGUCUAAAUUUAGAUGGUGGUAUUUAUCUCUUUGUGGGAUUCAACCCAUCAAAGAUUAGACUAGAGAAAAGGAGUUCUAGUUCAUAUAUAAAGCUUUUCAAGAGCAUUUUAUAGCAGCACCCAAGAGCAGUAUUUUCUCAGAUUGGGUGGUCUCCAUAGAUUCCGAUCUCCGGAAUCAAGUUUGAGUGUGGAAACAGCUGAAAUGGUGGAGAUACGACAUUGAAAAGUUGAUAUCCGGCGAGCGACUGGUGCUUGGAGAUCAUCAAUGGUGGUGGCAUAGAGAUGGAAGAAGAUGACUUUCUAUUUCCUUCUUUAGUUGCCUAAUUUGGUUUUGCCUUUCUCUUUCAGCUUUUUGUUUUGUUUUAUUUUGUUUUGAUGAUAUAUU